rnacentral:rRNA from 1 species
GAGACCUUCGGGUCUAGUGGCGCACGGGUGCGUAACGCGUGGGAAUCUGCCCUUGGGUUCGGAAUAACUUCGGGAAACUGAAGCUAAUACCGGAUGAUGACGUAAGUCCAAAGAUUUAUCGCCCAAGGAUGAGCCCGCGUAGGAUUAGCUAGUUGGUGAGGUAAAGGCUCACCAAGGCUACGAUCCUUAGCUGGUCUGAGAGGAUGAUCAGCCACACUGGGACUGAGACACGGCCCAGACUCCUACGGGAGGCAGCAGUAGGGAAUAUUGGACAAUGGGGGCAACCCUGAUCCAGCAAUGCCGCGUGAGUGAUGAAGGCCUUAGGGUUGUAAAGCUCUUUUACCCGAGAUGAUAAUGACAGUAUCGGGAGAAUAAGCUCCGGCUAACUCCGUGCCAGCAGCCGCGGUAAUACGGAGGGAGCUAGCGUUGUUCGGAAUUACUGGGCGUAAAGCGCACGUAGGCGGCGAUUUAAGUCAGAGGUGAAAGCCCGGGGCUCAACCCCGGAACUGCCUUUGAGACUGGAUUGCUAGAAUCUUGGAGAGGCGGGUGGAAUUCCGAGUGUAGAGGUGAAAUUCGUAGAUAUUCGGAAGAACACCAGUGGCGAAGGCGGCCCGCUGGACAAGUAUUGACGCUGAGGUGCGAAA